CGAAGGGUGCAAGCGUUAAUCGGAAUUACUGGGCGUAAAGCGCGCGUAGGUGGUUCGUUAAGUUGGAUGUGAAAGCCCCCCCCGGGCUCAACCUGGGAACUGCAUCCAAAACUGGCGAGCUAGAGUACGGUAGAGGGUGGUGGAAUUUCCUGUGUAGCGGUGAAAAUGCGUAGAUAUAGGAAGGAACACCAGUGGCGAAGGCGACCACCUGGACUGAUACUGACACUGAGGUGCGAAAAGCGUGGGGAGCAAACAGGAUU
rnacentral:rRNA from 1 species